rnacentral:rRNA from 1 species
CCUACGGGGGGCUGCAGUCGAGAAUCUUCGGCAAUGGGCGCAAGCCUGACCGAGCGACGCCGCGUGCGGGAUGAAGGCCCUCGGGUUGUAAACCGCUGUCGAGGGGGACGAAAUUUCAGUGGGUACUCCCAUUGAAUUGACCGAUCCCUGGAGGAAGGGUGGGCUAAGUUCGUGCCAGCAGCCGCGGUAAGACGAACCACCCAAACGUUAUUCGGAAAUGCUGGCCUUAAAGCGUGCGAAAGCUAGGUGUGAAAUCCCACAGCUCAACUGUGGAACUGCGCUUAAAACUACAAGGCUAGAGGAAUAUAGAGGUGAGCAGAACAGAUGGUGGAGCGGUGAAAUGCGUUGAUAUCAUCUGGAAUACCGGAGGCGAAGGCGGCUCACUGGGUAUUUUCUGACGCUGAGGUACGAAAGCUAGGGGAGCGAACGGGAUUAGAUACCCUGGUAGUC